rnacentral:pre_miRNA from 1 species
AAAAAGGCAAACCCUGGGUUUGUGUGUCCAACUUUGACUGUCCGUCUUAUAUAAUUUUUUUUAUAAUUCGUAUUUUUAUUGUUGUUAGAUGAUAAAACAUGAUUAAUACUUUGUGCGUGACUUAUCUUUUUAAUUUUUUUCAUUAUUUUUUUAAAUAAGACGGACGGUCAAACAUUGGGCACGGAAACCAGGGUUUGUCUUUUU